rnacentral:lncRNA from 1 species
AACCUAAACCAAAUUUAUCUAUCUCCCAAAACAUUAGUUAUUUCCUCACAUGAUCCGUUCUUAUCAAUAUCAAAAUUAAUAUGUGCACUCAAAUCAUUAGAAGAAUUAAUUUUAGCAGUAGGUGCACUCGAAUCAGCAUUUACGUCAAUAAUUUCACAUGGUGCAGAAAAUUCAACAGGUAUCUCAUUUAUUUCAUCACAU